GACACCUUAGUUCCAUCGGUGCUUGUGUCUUGUUAUUGUAUGGCUGUGUCAGUGUUUUGCACAAGGUGUUGCAGCCACCCAGCAACGCUACAACGUUGUGUACCAUUGGAAGUGCUUGAGUCAUUGGUGUGUGAGAUCAAUAUACCUCCAGUAGGAGCACUCUGACAAUCUUGUUUGAUGCUAACAAGUUUGCUGCUCUUGAUGGGGACAUU